AAUUUAUAGCCUGAAUUUAAUCCAAGGCUUAGCAUAAAAGAGGUGAGACAAAUAAUUCAAUAAAAGGUUGGACUAAUUAAGCCUGUGCUUAUUAAUGUAGUUUUACAAAGACCGAAAAUCCCUGCCAAUUUCAAAGGCUUACAGACCAGAUUCCUCUUAAAAUACAACAGCAUGAGAAAAAUGAAAGUUUAUUGCCAGCCUUCAUUGAUGUGUCCCAUGAUACGCCUGCUACUUGGUUCUCUUUAAUAUAAGCAAAGAAGCAGAACUUUCUAACAAGUGUGAUCUUUCAUACCCAAUGUCUUCAAUCCAAACCAUGGUUCAAAGAUCUCAAAGAUUGAUUCACCCUGAUGACAAUUCUUGCAAUGCUUAGAGACAAAAAUAAUGAUUUUACCAUGUAACUGCACUUCCACUAGCCAAUAUUGAGAGAAGACAAGUGACAUCAAUGCUUACAAAGAAAAUCCUCCAAUGGUGAUAAAGUGGUAGGCACAUUGCAAUCUACAAUUUUGAUGGCCAAAGCAUAAAAAUGUAUGAAGUUCAAAACCAAAUAUGAGAUAUUUCUCUAGGCCUUAGAUAUAGGUUGCUCAAAACACAGAAAGAGAACUUAUGAACUUUAUUUCUUCUUAUGCCUAGGGUCCCCCUCCCUCCUCUUUUAGUUCCUAACACAAGCAAAAACGGUAGGCAUUUAAUUGACGUAUCAUUGACAUGAGAAUGCAUGUAGUUUACGAUAUUGGUCAAGUGCAUUCAACCCAACUCAGAAAGGAAAUUAAACUCGAGCAAUACAAUCUACAGAUUUGAAACUAUGUAUAGCAAAUUUUCUGCUGCGCUCUCCCACAGGAAAAGAAGGGGGGGAGUUAGGAAGUAUCAAACAAAGACUUGCUUCCCUCAAUUGGGCAAAGCACUUGACGAGGAAAUAUUGGUGAGAAAGUCAUUCAUUAGAUAAGGUUUAAAUGCAAGUGUUAGUGUAUGUCGAUACUUGGACUUAUUCAUGUCCAAAAUUGGAUUCCAUACACUGAAAUACCCAGUGACAAAUAAGCCAAGCUCAAUGAUAUUCCAUCAAGAAUAAUAGUAGCAAUAGCUUCAGAAAAUCAAAUAGAGCACAUAGAACAAUCAACAUGUGUCUAAAAUUUUUAUCUUACAUAGUCAUUCAUUUAUUUCGCUCUUUGUCCCAAAGGUCCAAAAUCUUUCGGCGGCAAUACCCUCCAAAAUACUUUUGCCUGAAGAAGGCCAUAUGGAACUGCCCCAAACUUUCUUGAGUCAUUCGAAUCAUAUAUGUUAUCUCCCUCUAUCCAAAUAUGCCCCUUAGGAACCACAAUAGUAUCGCUUCUAUCGCUGUUUUUGGGGUCAACAACAUAAGUGACACUAUCACCUUCUAUGCCAAUCACGCGUUUGGUCACUACCCUUCUAGGAUUGACAGGGGACCGCACAAGAACGACAUCGCCAGGACCCACCUUGCCAAUCCGGGGCGAGAUCUUCUCAGCGAGGACGAGAUCACCGGUGAGGUUAAGAGUCGGAAGCAUACUGGGGCCAUAGGUUAGAGCAACAGUGCAGAGAUAGGUGUUGGUGACGUGAAGGAAGCAGAGGAAUUUGGCGACCAAAAAUGACUGAUUCAGUGCUUCUAUGGCGAAGCUCUUCCAUUGUUUUAGAUUUCUGAGGCCCAUUUCUCCG
rnacentral:misc_RNA from 1 species